rnacentral:lncRNA from 1 species
UAAUUCGACCUCUUCUCUCUUCGUUCUACCAGAAAAUUAAAGAGAGGAAAUCAGUGAGCCUUAAGAAGCUUUUAAGAUUGUAGUUAGGUGAAGAGGGAGUGCAGUGUAGAAUUUGGAAGCGUGAGGGAGUUUGGUGUAUGUUGAGUGCAAGAAUUCGACUCUUCAUUUGAAGUAAGCUUAUUCUCUUCUUAACUCACAUUCUUUCACACAUUCCUUGCAUCUAAUCACAGUUCUUAAUGACUUUAGGAUCCAGGAUUUGCACAGAAGGCUUCAAAUCGAAGCCAAAUCUCUAUAAAUUUCCAGAAGCUACUGAUUGUCAGGUACUCUGCUGUUUCUCUUCUAUUCUCUCAUAUGUUUUGAUUACUUCCCUAAGAUUAUUGUAAGUAAAUGAUAGGAUAAGGUCUUGGAACCUUAACAGAACCUAGCUAAUUAAAAUAACUCAUUGGAAAUCAGAAAUUAAUUCAAACGUAUCCACUCUAUUUCUGUGACUGCACCCAGACGUUGCAGAACACUUUGCCAACUAUAAACAUGACAUUCUUCCGUGCGUUUAGGUUCAAAUUGUAUCCUUACUGAGGUAAGAUAAAUGGUAAGCUAGUUUAUGCAAGUAGGGUUUUUUUAUACAUGCAUUUUAGAGGUAAUUCUUCCUUGAAAGUCAAGGAUGUGUGAUCUUUUAAAUUAUCUUACAGCGUGCAUGUCAUUAUGUUUUUUUUUUAAGUUUAAAUAUUUUGAUUUCUUGAAUGUUUUAAAGAAUAUUGAUGUUUUUUUAAUUAGGAAAAAAUUAACAGAAGGAAAACAAAUCAAUUUAAAAUGGAAAUCCUACGGGAACCAUCAACAGAGGCCAAAAUUGCCGCUGCUGGCUGUGUUAGGCACCAAAGUGCCGAGACUGGUGACACAUGCGGCCCUACUGCACAGGUACACGCAAGGGGUCUCUUUUUGGCAGCCGAAACUGCCAAAAAAUAUCCCUGGCAUGUUGCACACGCGUAGUAUGCUACGUAAAGGGGCGUGUGACUCGGUUAGGCUUAUGCAGAUGUCGAGCAGGGUUGUGUGGGCGCGAACAUGGCUUACCAUGCAUGUUGUGUGCAUAUGUGCCCUGGGCUGUGCGCGGGUGUGUCAUUGCACUCAAGCACAUGCCCACAGGCUAACUUCUCAGUGUAGCAAAGCCAAGUGAGUUAUGCUGGCCUGCCAGGCAUGACACCCCGAGAGGCCUUCACGGAUUGCCACCAAGCCUCUAACAAGGUUCAGGGAGAAAUUCCCUUGGGCAGGAAAUGCAGGGGUAAAAUUUGUAGAUUCAAAAAGGUAAAAUUAAAUUAAAAUAAGAAAUUAAGGGUUAAAAUAGGAGUAACAUGAAUUAUAGAUGAAAAAGGAAUAAAAUAAGAAAUGGAAGAAUGACAAGGAAAAAAGGGUUGAGUAAAACUAAAAACUAGAAUUUAAAAAGUAAAAAAAAAAAAGAAAAAAAAAACCUAAAAGUACAAAUAAUAAUUAAAUCUAAAAUGUGUAUCUUAAAUCAAUAAAUAAAAUUUAAACGAUUAACAUUUAGACUUAAUAGGUUAGAAAAGUUUUACUAAAAAUUUUAAAGAUAAUUAAAAAUAAUUAAGAUAAAAAGAGUAAAAAACUUAAUUAACAUAGUGUCUAAUUAAAUUCGGUGCAUUGUAUUUUCUUAGAGGGAUACAUGGGUUUGUGUUAUGAACCACUAGCUAUGGGUGUAACUGUGGUUUCAAGUUGAAAUCCACGGUUCAGUUAUCCUUGGACUCUGAACNNNAAUUUAGAAAAAAUCGAAAAACGACAAAACGAAAAAAAAACUGCUCGCAGGAAAAAUCCCGUGAGAGGACAGUUUGCCUGUGCAGGUGCUGGGAACUGUACGUGUGCACAUGCGUGCAUAGUGGCCGGGAGGCAUGCACACAGUGCGCACAUUCCAUUCACACGCUAGCACGCACGGGACAUGCGCACAAUGCGCAUGGCGCAUGGUCAGCACCAGCGCAUGCGUCUUGUCGCGCGUAGAUGGGCCAUCCGUGCGUCACCUCGCGCAUGGACUAGCAUCGCACAUUGUGUGCGCGCCGUUCUCACAGUAGGCCUGCAUGAAUAGGCCCUGUGCGCCAGGGGCUUGCGCGCAGUAAGCAUGCGCGUGCGCAUGCUAGCCCUUGCACGCGCGACAGUAGGCCUGUGUGCCUGCAGCGCACCGGUCGGAGCACUACCACCUCGGGCAGUGCACUACCGUUGCCUUAGGCGGUGCGUCGCGACCGCCGAUGGAGGAAGCCCUCCUCCCUCAUUUUUCGUGUCAAGAAUCUUUUUUUCCCUCUUUUCACCGAAUUUUUUCACUUGGUGCGAAUCCAACGGUUCUGAAAUUUUAUAAAUUGCCAUUUCUCUUCCCUUCCUCUCCAUACUUCUAUUUUUUUAAAGGUUUGGAGAGAGAGAGAUAGUAAAUUUGUGAGAGAAGAAGAGAAAGAGAGGAAAACGGUUAAGAAAAAAACAUCAAAGUUUCAAUAAAGAAUUUAGUAUUACUUUCGAUAUCUUAAAGAGUAUUUUUAGAUAAACAAAUUUAAUGUGAUUGUUAUUUUGCCUAUUUUUCAUGCCUCUGUAUUAAAAUGAGUCGAAUUAUUAUGAUUUUCAAACAUGUUAUGUGGAUUACAGACACUUGAUGAAUUUACAUAUAAUAAAUAUAAUUUAUAAUCGGUAAAAGUAAAAAGCAUAAAAAAAUAGAAAAAAAAAAGUAUAGUGAAGCCUGUAUGGUCUAAAAUGUAUAUGUAUUGACAUGUAUAUUACAUCAAGUGUCUCGUUAGGUUUUUUUAUCUCUGAGGGAUAUCUGUUCCCCUUGUCCUUUGGGAUAUCUAUUUUUCUCUCCCCUAUCUAGUUCAGAAAUAUGUAAGAGAAUUGCUCCCAGUAGAUGACGGUGUGCCCUCUAGCGAGAGUGGUCUCGCACUAUCUAUAGGGGUCACUUGUGGCUAAGUAAUGUCGUGACUAUAAAUAUCUGUUAGGGCCACUAUAGUUGGCACGGUCGUAGUCAUAGAUCGUAACCUAGUUUGGCCAGCCAGAAGUGGGCCUAAGCAAAUUAUCAUAUCUGUAUAUGAUCUAAUCAUUUCACUUGGGUAGUUAGAAAUUUAUAUCUGUCAUUAGAGAUAGAAGUUUGUAACGACUUUGCUAAAUAUGACACAAAAAAUCUGUGCAUAUCAUGAUUUAUUUGAUUUUCUCUAUUAUUUGGUAUGAUGUAUAUUUGAUUUUCUGUGCUAACGUACCAUUUUUAUAUUCAAAUAAAUAGUUUUCAUAAUAGUGAGUUAGUUAAAUAAGGAAGCUAAACGGUAAGAUAAAAUAAUAAACUUUUGAAAUCUUAUGAUGUUAAUUUAAUACUGUUUUUCUUACUGAGCAUAUGGAACUCACUCUUUUCAUGCUCUCCACCAAGAUGAGGAAGAAAAUAAGGAACCGCAGGCAGACCUACCCUUGAAAGUGUAUGAGGAUUCCGUAGAUCCACAAGUCUAAGGACAUGACUGUUCUCGCACUUUGAUGAAUCUAGUAGC